GCCUUCGUGGUGUAGUGGUCUGCAUGCUCGACACGUGACCAAGAGGUCCUCGGUUCGAUUCCCGGCGAAGGCG
rnacentral:tRNA from 1 species